rnacentral:rRNA from 1 species
AAUCAAGCGCGAAAAGGGCGUUUGGUGAAUGCCUUGGCAGUAAGAGGCGAUGAAAGACGUGAUACUCUGCGAUAAGUCAUGGGGAGCUGAGAAUAAGCUUUGAUCCAUGAAUUUCUGAAUGGGGCAACCCACCUGAUACUUUGUUAUUACUGCACUUCGGUGCAGCUAAUAAUGAGGUAAACCAGGUAUUUCUAGACUGAAUACAUAGGUUUAGAAAAGCAAACCCGGGGAACUGAAACAUCUAAGUACCCGGAGGAAAGGAAAUCAAUUGAUACUCCCCUAGUAGCGGCGAGCGAACGGGGACCAGCCGAGCCUUGAAUGUGAAUAGAAUGGUCUGGAAAGGCCAACCAUAGUGGGUGACAGUCCCGUAUAUGAAGCACGAUAGGACGUAUUAAGUAGGGCGGAACACGUGAAAUUCUGUCUGAAGAUCGGAGGACCACCUUCGAAGGCUAAGUACUCCUUACUGACCGAUAGUGAACCAGUACCGUGAGGGAAAGGUGAAAAGCACCCCGACGAGGGGAGUGAAACAGUACCUGAAACCGAACGCCUACAAUCAGUUGGAGGGCCCUUGAGGCCUGACAGCGUACCUUUUGUAUAAUGGGUCAUCGACUUGGUCUCACGAGCAAGCUUAAGCCGUUAGGUGUAGGCGCAGCGAAAGCGAGUCUUAAUAGGGCGUCGAGUUCGUGGGAUCAGACCCGAAACCGAGUGAUCUAGGCAUGACCAGGAUGAAGGUAAGGUAACACUUACUGGAGGUCCGAACCCACACCUGUUGAAAAAGGUCGGGAUGAGUUGUGCCUAGGGGUGAAAGGCCAAUCAAACUCGGAGAUAGCUGGUUCUCUGCGAAAUCUAUUUAGGUAGAGCGUCAUCCGAAUACCCUCGGGGGUAGAGCACUGGAUGGGUAAUGGGGCCCCACAGGCUUACUGAUCCUAACCAAACUCCGAAUACCGAGGAGUACUAGAUGGCAGACACACGGCGAAUGCUAACGUCCGUCGUGAAGAGGGAAACAACCCUGACCUACAGCUAAGGCCCCUAAUUCAUGGCUAAGUGGGAAAGCAGGUGGGACGACCAAAACAACCAGGAAGUUGGCUUAGAAGCAGCCAUCUUUUAAAGAUAGCGUAACAGCUCACUGGUCUAAUCAAGUUGUCCUGCGGCGAAGAUGUAACGGGGCUCAAGCCAUGAGCCGAAGCUUAGGAUGCACUUAGUGCAUGGUAGCAGAGCGUAGUGUGACAUAACUCCAUGUCUCCUUAAGCCCUUCGGGGCGAUUGGAGACGCGGAGUUUUCUGUGAAGCCGGCGCGUGAGCGAUCCGGUGGAGAGAUCACUAGUGAGAAUGAUGACAUGAGUAGCGACAAAGGGAGUGAGAGACUCCCUCGCCGAAAGUCCAAGGGUUCCUGCUUAAAGCUAAUCUGAGCAGGGUAAGCCGACCCCUAAGGCGAGGCCGAAAGGCGUAGUCGAUGGGAACCAGGUUAAUAUUCCUGGGCCAGAUGGAAGUGACGGAUCUCGAAGGUAGUUCAUCCUUAUCGGAUUGAAUGGGCUGCUGAGAGGUUCCUGGAAAUAGCUCCAUCGCUAGAUCGUACCCUAAACCGACACAGGUGGACUGGUAGAGAAUACCAAGGCGCUUGAGAGAACUAUGUUGAAGGAACUCGGCAAAAUACCUCCGUAAGUUCGCGAGAAGGAGGCCCGGUUCCUAGGCAACUAGGGGCUGGGGGCACAAACCAGGGGGUGGCGACUGUUUAUUAAAAACACAGGGCUCUGCGAAGUCGUAAGACGACGUAUAGGGUCUGACGCCUGCCCGGUGCCUGAAGGUUAAAAGGAGGGGUGAGAGCUCUGAAUUGAAGCCCAGGUAAACGGCGGCCGUAACUAUAACGGUCCUAAGGUAGCGAAAUUCCUUGUCGGGUAAGUUCCGACCUGCACGAAUGG